UCAAGAAAAAAAAGCAAAAUUAUAGGAUAGUGGAAAAAUGAUUAUAAUGAAUCUAUGCACCCUGACAACACAGAUUUUCUUACUGAUUUACAGAGAGGUGCAUCAAGGAUAUAAGUAGGUUUGCAGAGCAGCAGAAGCAUCACAGAGGUGGUGGCUGCAUUGCAGAAGGCAGCUGUGAUGGUCCCUGCUGCAGAGCCAGGGCACCACAUGGCCAUGACCUGGACUGGUGAUGGGGAUCGAGUUCAUCCUGUUACCUGUGACCCAGCUCCUGGCCUGGACCUCUUGGAAGCAACGAGGAAGAGGAGGGAUGGGGGGCUCCUCCAUCCAUACGCUCCAUCACAGUUACUUCUGGGUGAACUCAUGAAAAUUCCCUGUAACUCUGCACAGCAGUUCGGUGCUCUAAGCCUACCACCUCUUUGAGGACAUCCACACUCUGCAGAGAGAAUAUCCAAGCCCCGUGCACC